CAAAAACAUGUCCUUUUGGGUUGAAUGAAAGGUCUGACCUGCCCAGUGAUGAUUUUAACGGCCGCGGUAUACUGACCGUGCAAAGGUAGCAUAAUCAUUAGUCUUUUAAUAGAGGGCUGGUAUGAAAGGUUUCACGAGGAACUGACUGUCUCAUUUUAUUUGUUUUAAAACUUAAUAUUUUAGUUAAAAAGCUGAAAUUUAUUUGGAAGACGAGAAGACCCUAUAGAUCUUUAUAUUUAUUUAAAUAUUCAUUUUUAUAUUAAUAUUAUUAUUUAAAUAACNAUUUUGUUGGGGUGACAAAAAUAUAAGAUCAACUUUUUUAUUUAAUUAACAUUGAUUUAUGAUUAUUAGAUCCACUAUUAUUGAUUGCUAGACUAAGUUACCUUAGGGAUAACAGCGUAAUCCUUUCCCAGAGUUCAUAUUUACGAAAGGGCUUGCGACCUCGAUGUUGGAUUAAGAUUAUAAUUAGGUGUAGCCGCUUAAUAUAUAGGUCUGUUCGACCUUUAAUUUCUUACAUGAUCUGAG
rnacentral:rRNA from 1 species